rnacentral:lncRNA from 1 species
UCGGUUGGUAGAGUUCACUGUGUGAACUUAGUACAGAGACUCUACCCUACAGUUGACCCGAGUUUGGACCCUGAGUAUGCAGAGUACCUCAAAGGAAGGUGCCCAACUCCAGACCCGGACCCAGAAGAAGUUCUGUAUGCAAGAAAUGACAGAGAAACACCCAUGAUUCUUGAUAAUAUGUACUACAAGAACAUAUUGAACCACAAGGGAUUGCUUUUAGUGGAUCAACAAUUGGCUUCUGAUCCCAUUACUUCUCCAUUUGUGGAAAAAAUGGCUGGCGAUAAUGGAUACUUCCUUGAUCAGUUCUCUAGAGCUGUGGUGUUGUUGUCGGAGAAUAAUCCUCUUACUGAUGAUCAAGGAGAGAUAAGAAAGGAUUGCCGCUAUGUGAAUACCAAUUAGCUAAGCUCAGAAAGUUAUGUACUUGUCCACAACAAUAAAGCAUCUUGUAUUAAUCAAGUCAUAUGUGUGAAAUAAACAAGUGAUAAUUGAAAUGUAUUUACGGAGCAACGAGUAUAUCAAAUUCGUACUAUAAUUUUAUAUUUUAAUUUAUAUACACAAGGUCUAAAUAAAUUUUUCUUCCAAUACAAUUAAAGUCUUAUAUAAAAUUAUAGAGUUUUCUAAAAUCAUAAGGUUUAUCAUUUAAAAUUAUUAACUAAAUUAAAAAAUAUAAAUCGUAAUAAUGAAACUUCCUUGCAAAUCUCUAAUUUUAGGUAUAGUGUAUUUUUUUUUUUAAUAAAGGAAUAAAGGAUUGAGAUUGAGAAUCUAAAAUCUCUCGAGAUUCAAUUUUAUUGUCGAAUUAAGUUUAUGAAUAUAUACUGUGUAUUAUAAUUUGAUUUUAAUUAAAUUUAAUUUAACUAAAUUUAUCGUUAUAAUUCUUUGAAUGUAAUAAUAAUAAUAAUAAUAAUAAUUUUGAAUAUUUCAAGUUUUAAUCAAUUUCAAUCUCAUUUUAAUGAGACAGAUUCUAAUGCAAACCCAAACUCAAAAUUUACUUGUAAUAUUGUUGGAUAAACGGUCUUCAUUGCAAUGGGUCCAUUAAUUAUUGGUUUAGGAUAAGGCAAUAAACAGCCUUUUCCCCCAAUUUCCCUUUGGCUCAAUCUUUUUCAGAAUAUCAUGGUGAGUGAAGUCUCAACUCCCAAGCGUCAGAGUUAAAGCGUAGUGGGGAGGCUGAGAGGCCCCCAAUGUCCUCUUUGCACAUAAUAGCGCGGUUUAGUUUACGGGUUAGAUGUAACUUUAAAUUGAUAAUUAUUACUUAUAACUAAUAACUGAUAUUAACGGAUAUGUUUUAGGUGUUUGAUAUAUAAUAGUUUGCUGCUAUCGUAUAAAAUAAUUAAUAAAAAUAUAUAUCAAUUUAUUAUAUUAAUGAGAUAAAUAUAAAAAUAUAUAUUUAUUAUAUAAUAUAUAUAAAAUUUAAAAUAUAAUUAUUUUUUAUACACAUAUGUAGUUUUUAUUAUAUAAUAAUAAAUAUUAUAACUAUUUUAAUUAUUAUUUAUAGUAUUUUUAAUUUAUGUAUUAUGUAUUGUAAUUUUAAAUUAUUUAUUAAUAUAAAAAUUUUAAUUUAAAAAAUUAUAAAUUAAAAAAUCAUAAAAAUUAAUAUAGUCUAAAUAAGAAAUAAAAUCAAAACAACUACUAAUUGAUAGAAACAACUCUAAAAUUAGGAUUGAUUUAAAAUGCAGCUGAUAGAUAUCAAUUGUCUAUUAAUUAUCUUUUAUCUUUUAAAUAUUUAUCAGUUAUCGAAUACAUCCAACAGUAAAAUCAAACACCUCUAUAUAAAUAGACAUAACUCUCUCCCGUCACUUUCAUCACACCAUAUCAAAUUAGCCAAAAAAAAGAGAUGGCCAUGCCCACCAACUCUACCCAACGUGGCACUUCAACCCUCCUCCUCUUUAUCUUAUUGCCGUUGCUCUUGCAAUUUUAUCAUGGUAAUGUUCAUAAUAUAUACUUCUACAAGAAAUUCUAGCUUCAUUAGCACAUUAUUUAAUUGUUACUUCUUGUUAAAAUGAAUUCUUAAUUAUGACGAUGUACAUGUACCGGUGUGCUGAAUAAUAUUUCAUUAUUGUGUAAUAUACGGUGACUGUUGAGCUCAGGUAGAAGUGAACUCCAACUAAACUACUAUGCACAAAGUUGCCCAAGAGCUGAAGACAUCAUCAAAGAGCAAGUCACUAAUCUAUACAAGAAACAUGGAAAUACAGCAGUUUCCUGGGUUAGGAAUCUCUUCCAUGAUUGUGGGGUGAAGGUAUUAUAUUAUUUUGGUUAAUUAAUCAAUUGUUAAUUACGUUUCAUAGUUGGUUCAUUAAUUGUCUAUAUGGGCAUAAAUGAUUCAGUCGUGUGAUGCAUCGCUGUUGUUGGAGUCGGCAAACGGAAUUGAAUCGGAGAAAGCAUCACAGAGGAACUUUGGAAUGAGAAAUUUGAAGUAUGUGAACACAAUCAAAGAUGCAGUUGAAGCUGAAUGCCCUUUGACCGUCUCUUGUGCUGAUAUUGUUGCUCUUUCUGCAAGAGAUGGUAUUGUCAUGGUACGUCUUCUUCCCACGCAAAUAAUUUUAAAUAACGAAAACAAUAUUUCUCUGCCUUUUUUUUUCGAAAAAAAAAAAAAAAGAAAUUAUCUAUUGUUUCAAGAAUUCAAAUGGCAAAGAAAUAAUUUAAUGACUAGGAAUUUCUAUUGGGAUAACAUCUAUAGUUAGGAGGACCAAGAAUAGAAAUGAAAACAGGGAGGAGAGACAGCAAAAAGAGCUACGCAGCAGUGGUAGAAGACUUCCUUCCCAAUCACAACGACAGCAUGUCAUUAGUGCUUUCUCGCUUUCAAUCCAUUGGCAUUGACACUGAAGGAACUGUUGCUCUUUUAGGUAUUUCAUCAAACACUUAAUGAAAAACUACAUACUGCCCAUCAAUGGUCCAAUCUAAUAUGUGUAAUCUUGUUCAGGAGGUCACUCGGUUGGCAGAGUUCACUGUGUGAAUUUAGUACAAAGACUGUACCCUACGGUUGAUCCGAGCUUGGACCCUGAGUAUGCAGAAUACCUCAAAGGGAGGUGUCCGACUCCAGUCCCGGACCCAGAAGAAGUUCAGUAUGCAAGAAAUGACAGAGAAACACCCAUGAUUCUUGAUAAUAUGUACUACAAGAACAUAUUGAAGCACAAGGGAUUGCUUUUAGUGGAUCAACAAUUGGCUUCUGAUCCCAUUACUUCUCCAUUUGUGGAAAAAAUGGCUGGCGAUAAUG